rnacentral:ncRNA from 1 species
CCCGACAAAGCCAAACCUGCCCCGAGGCAGGGACGGAAAGCCACGGGUCUCCAUGAUUGGAAGAUGGCCGAGCUGCCGAAG